CCGAGCGGCAGCGCCUGGAGCGGGAGAAGCACUUCCAGCGUGAGGAGCAGGAGCGGCUGGAGAGGAAGAAGCGCCUGGAGGAGAUCAUGAAGAGGACGCGCAAGUCGGACGCAGCGGAUGCCAAGAAGAAGGAGGACAAGAAGGUGGUGAAUGGGAAAGCGGCCGAGCAGGAGGAUGUCCCAGGCCGUGAGAAGCGCGCGGGGCCAAUGCCAAAGGAGGAGGAACUCCCUGAGACUGAGACGCCGAGUGCGGGGAUGCCGGGGGGGCCGAAGGGCCUGGCAGGCGAGGGGC